UAAGAAUAAGUGCAAGUGCAAUAGAGGGGUUAGGGAGUGUCGAGGCAGGCUGGUGGUCAUACCUAGUUAUAAGGUAGACUGGUACACCCUUGACCAAGCAUGUUCAGCCAACAAAUAUGAGCACAGAACUAUUGAAGAUCAGGACAUGGUCCAGACAAUGAUUAGGACAUUGUUAGACCAUAGUCUUUAACUCAGAAUACAUGUAAAUGGAAUGGGAAUGGGAAUUGGAAAGAGUUUAGGAUUCGAGUCCAGCCCAUACGCAUGAACAACAAUGUCAACUUUUGUCAUGCUUUUCGGACCAUAACUCUACAUAUAAAGGGAAUUGGGGGUAGGAAUUCAUGUAAGCACAGAGAAAGAAGUAAGCAAACUUGCAGAAAUUACAGCAUCGAAACAGUAAGACAAAUAGAGAAAAGGCUGAAAAGUGAACAUGUAGUGGAGAGACAUGAUUUAAACAAAGAGAGACAUACCAGUUGUAGAAAAAGUAAACAAAGAAACUACAGUAUUCUUUCAGCCAAACCAUAAUCAGAGAAGAAAGUUUUGAACUUAUGAGUUCAGAGAACUCGAAGGCUUAAGAAAUUCUAAAUGAAUUUGAGAGAAGUAGUAGUGAUUUUGUUCUGUUAGAACUUGUUCUUGAAAGAGAAAAAGGUACAGGUAUUUAUAGCUUUGAAAACUAGUAGAAAACAAGGUAACAAAUAAGGUUACAACACAAACAUGGAAAUAAUCACAGUCAAAAUCAAUUAACAUAGGUUUUUCCCUUUAAUCAAGGGAUUACUGCUCAAGGACGCUAACAUGAUUAGUAUAAGGAAAGAAAAUCAAUUUGCAAGCAAAAUGAUUAUUGCCAUAAAAGGAGCAGUAAAAUAAUAUAGUAAAGGACUAGGCCUAAAUACAGGAGUGUACUUAUUUUUUGAAAGGAUCUAGUAAGGCCAAACAAAGAGGAAGAAUCAAUUAACAUUUAACGGGCGAGCAAAAAAUCAGAAUUGUACAAGGAAAAGUUUUGAAAAUUAGUCACGAGUUUGAAAAUCAAUCACAGAAGGGACUCAGUAUAUAAAUGAAGUACAUAAGUAAUAGACAUGUGAGGCCAAGCUAUGGCAAGAAGAAACAACAUACAGUAAUAACAUGAUAGUCACUUGGGUAAAAUUUCAUUAGUAAUAGAGAAAAGAUCAGAAGCAUGCAGAAGUUAGGUGAAAACUUUUCUGAAAACAUAGUCAAGUUUGACAUAUAGCAAAACUCAUAAUAGAGAUGAAUCACAUAAAGAAAAGGGAUGUUGAAGUUUAAAAAAGGCAGAUUGAGCAAUUUCAAACAGACGAGUUGCAUAAACAAACUCAAGAAUUCGAAUAGACCCCAAAGAACUAGAGUUUUCGAAAUCAGUAGAGUUUAGAAGCAAUAAACAAGUGAAACAAAUAAACAGACUCAGAGUCUCACAUAAACCCCAAAAAUUAGGUUUUUCAACGCUAAUCAGGUGUAGAUAAGGUAAAUCAAAAUGAUAUCGACAAACAGACUAAGAAACUCAAACAAAAUUCCAAAAAUUGGAGUUUUCAACAUGCAACUCAAAUAGAAAAACAACACAAGCAAAACACAAGAAAACAUGUCUAGAAUCAGAGAAGUGAUUCGAAAUAACUUAACAUGAAACCCUAGUUGAAGACAAAAGAUUUUUGAAAACAAAAUUAAAGUUUGAACUUCGAAAAAAAAUUCUUAGCAAGUUCAAACACACAUAGAUCAGAGCAGAUCUGAAAUAAAAUCGGAGGAACCUUAGAGAUUAGGAUUUCGUAAGAAACCCAAGUGAUAAAAAAGGCUUUGAAAACCCUUGAUCUGAGCAGGAGAGUCAAAGGUCGAACUCGAAUAACCAUGGCCGGCCGAACAAAGGUUGAAGACGGCCGGAGAACAGUCAUCAAGCAAAGGACUGGUCGAAAACCCUUCAAGAUCUAGUCAUAGGACCUCAUAAAUGAGCACGUAGAAGCCAUAAAAGACUGGUAUAUGCCGCCGAUGAGCUUGGGAAGCCAUAGAUUAGGGUUUAAUGAGAGGCGGCAGCUAGGGUUUGAGGUGAGUUGAGAAAAAU
rnacentral:lncRNA from 1 species